UACGUAGGUAGCAAGCGUUGUUCGGAAUUACUGGGCGUAAAGCGCGUGUAGGCGGCUCUUCAAGUCAGACGUGAAAGCCCCGGGCUUAACUCGGAACGGCCAAGUGAUACUGUCGUGCUAGAGUGCAGAAGGGGCAAUCGGGAAUCUUGGUGUAGCGGUGAAAUGCGCAGAUAUCAGGAGGAACACCGAUGGCGAAGGCAGGUCUCGUGGGCAUUAACUGACGCUGAGGAGCGAAAGCAUGGGGAGCAACAGG
rnacentral:rRNA from 1 species